rnacentral:rRNA from 1 species
UACGGAGGGUGCAAGCGUUAUCCGGAUUCACUGGGUUUAAAGGGUGCGUAGGUGGAAUGGUAAGUCAGUGGUGAAAUCUCCAAGCUUAACUUGGAAACUGCCGUUGAUACUAUCAUUCUUGAAUAUCGUGGAGGUGAGCGGAAUAUGUCAUGUAGCGGUGAAAUGCCUAGAUAUGACAUAGAACACCGAUUGCGAAGGCAGCUCACUACGCGAUUAUUGACACUGAGGCACGAAAGCGUGGGGAUCAAACAGG